UACGUAGGGUGCGAGCGUUGCCCGGAUUUAUUGGGCGUAAAGGGCGCGUAGGCGGCCAUGCGUGUCUUCCGGUGAAAUCCCUCGGCUUAACCGAGGACGUGCGGAAGAAACUGCAAGGCUCGAGUCCGGAAGAGGGGGGCGGAAUUCCCAGUGUAGCGGUGAAAUGCGUAGAUAUUGGGAGGAACACCAGUGGCGAAGGCGGUCCCCUGGGCCGGAACUGACGCUGAGGCGCGAAAGCGUGGGUAGCAAACGGG
rnacentral:rRNA from 1 species